ACAAGCUGUUCUGUCCCGCUCCAUCCUCUGCCCAGCAGCUCUCUCAGUUGCUUUGCCUACUCAGUCUCACUGUUUCAUCUUCCCUGGGUCUCUUGGUCCCCUUCCUUUUGACUGUGUGUGAUUUUCACUGUGCCUCCAUCCUUCUCCUGCUCCUCUUCUUCCUCCUCCCGACCACUCAACUUUGUCCUGGCCUCAUUUUUGGCCUCUUCUGGCCAGUGAUCAGACCCUCUGGCCCACUACGGCCAGAGCUGGCUGGGCCUGAGGGAGGCUUGCCCUGAGGACUCCUGAGUCCCCCACCCACUCCACUCCGUUGGGAGCCCAGGGGAAUCAGGGCCUGGGCGUCUGGACCCCCGGGUCCCUUAGAACGCCCUUCAGAGAGAGGAACUGAGAGGAGAGGGUUAGAAGAGAGUGGGCCCGCCCUCAGGGUCUGGGGCCUUCCAGGUUGGGUCGUAGGGGCGGGAGCGCACAGGCUGCGAGAGAGGAGCAAAGCUGGGCUGGGCCGAGCCUGUGGGAACCUGCUUCUUCCUCUGUGCCCUGGGGCUGCUCCCCUUUGCCUCUCCCACCAGGAACCGAUCCCAGAAGUAGGA
rnacentral:sRNA from 1 species